UCUAUUCCUCCCCUUCGAGCAUCGCUCUGCGAGUCUUUGUCUUAAAGAAGAAGAAAUGCAGCACCGUUCAGUCCCUCGGACAAGGUAGCGAAAAGCGUUGCAGAGCGAAAUUUAUUAAAAAAAAAAAAAUUUAUACAUAAAAUUUCCAGAAAAAAAAAAGAACCGAAAUGUGCUUGGUCUCUGCCUUUGUCCUCCUAGCCAUGUGAGCUCACUGACAUAUUCUCUUCUUCUUCUUCUUCACCUUUUCUUUCCUCCACUUCCCCCUUUUUUUUUGUAUCCUUCUCCUUCGCCAUUCUGGCCUCCCCGAGUCAUUGACUCACUGACUCGGCCCCGAGUUGACCGGCUCCCGCUCCGGCGCCGCCCAUGGCCUCCUCGUCCCGGGCAAGGAGCAGCUCCCCGUUCUCGUACCGCAAGCCGGCCAGCCCGUACUCCUCCACUUCCUCCUCCUCCUCGCUCUCCAACCCGCGGCUCCUGCCCCGCUCCUGCUCCUCCUCCGCCACGUCGUACUACAACCCGGCCGGCGGGCUCGGCUCGCGAUCGAUGACGCCGAGCCGGUCCCGGUCCGAUUCGGUGUACUGCGGCGGCCCGCCCGCGUGCGGUACUCGCUCUCCGGUGGGGUUCCCGUCCGACGAGCUGAUGGGCGAGCCUCUGGAGCCGCCGCGCUCGGCGGAUAGCAUCUCGGUGACCAUUCGGUUUCGGCCGUUGAGCGAGAGAGAGUAUCAGAGAGGAGACGAGAUAGCGUGGUAUGCCGAUGGGGAUAAGAUUGUCAGGAACGAGUACAAUCCAGCUACCUUUUAUGCAUUCGAUAAAGUUUUCGGGCCGCAUACUACCUCGCAGGAUGUAUAUGAAGUGGCAGCAAAGCCGGUGGUCAAGGCUGCGAUGGAAGGUGUUAAUGGAACUGUUUUUGCAUAUGGCGUUACGAGUAGUGGGAAGACACACACUAUGCAUGGUGAUCAAAAUUCUCCUGGUGUCAUACCGCUGGCUAUCAAGGAUGUUUUUAGUAUGAUCCAAGAUACUCCAGGCAGAGAGUUUUUGCUCCGUGUGUCAUAUCUUGAAAUUUAUAACGAGGUGAUCAAUGACUUGCUUGAUCCAACUGGUCAAAAUCUGCGUGUUAGGGAAGAUGCACAGGGAACUUACGUCGAGGGCAUAAAAGAAGAAGUUGUGUUGUCUCCUGGGCAUGCUUUGUCAUUCAUUGCGGCUGGGGAAGAGCAUCGUCACGUUGGAUCCAAUAACUUCAAUCUUUUGAGCAGCCGAAGUCACACAAUUUUUACUCUGAUGAUUGAGAGUAGUGCCCAUGGUGAUGAAUAUGAUGGAGUGAUCUUCUCUCAGUUGAAUUUGAUUGACCUGGCUGGAUCUGAAAGCUCCAAGACUGAAACAACUGGACUGCGGAGAAAGGAAGGAUCUUACAUAAAUAAAAGUCUUCUUACUCUUGGAACUGUGAUUGGCAAACUGAGUGAAGGGAAAGCUUCUCAUGUUCCAUAUCGUGAUUCUAAACUCACUCGCCUUCUCCAGUCUUCACUGGGUGGGCAUGGACAUGUUUCGCUUAUAUGUACUGUUACUCCAGCAUCUAGUAACAUGGAGGAAACCCAUAACACAUUGAAAUUUGCAAGUCGGGCUAAAAGAGUGGAGAUAUAUGCCUCACGGAAUAAGAUUAUCGAUGAAAAAUCUUUGAUUAAGAAGUAUCAGCGAGAAAUUUCUGUUCUGAAGGAAGAACUUGAUCAAUUAAGGAGGGGGAUGCUGGUGGGUGUGAGCCAUGAGGAGAUCUUGAGCUUGAAGCAGAAGUUAGAGGAAGGCCAAGUGAAAAUGCAGUCGAGAUUGGAGGAGGAGGAAGAAGCCAAGGCUGCUCUCAUGAGCAGAAUUCAGAGAUUGACAAAACUCAUUCUUGUCUCUUCAAAAAAUACAAUUCCAGGAUGUUUGGGCGAUAUUCCAAAUCACCAUAAGAGCCAUUCUUUUGGUGAAGAUGAGAAAUCAGAUGGGCCGCGAGAUUGUUCUCUGCUUAGUGAUGGAGAGAAUCAGAAGGAUCUGCUAUGUUCUGCCUCUGUUACUAUGUCCGAUCCGUCUUAUUAUCCCACGCAUAAAAGAUCUGGUAGCAAAUGGAGUGAUGAAUUCUCACCUGCUGGCAGUGCAGUUACAGAAAUAACUCAGGGUGGUGAACUCAUAAGUGCAAACAAAUUGACAAUGGGUGGGAUAUCAAUGUCAGAUCAGAUGGAUCUUCUUGUUGAGCAAGUAAAGAUGCUUGCUGGGGAGAUUGCGUUCAGCACAAGUACUCUGAAGCGCUUGGUAGACCAGUCUGUGGAUGACCCUGAGAGUUCAAAAACUCAGAUUGAGAAUUUGGAACGUGAGAUUCAAGAUAAGAGGAGGCAGAUGAGGGCACUAGAACAGCACAUUACUGAAAGUGGUGAAGCUUCUAUUGCUAAUGCAUCCCUAGUUGAAAUGCAGCAGACGGUCAUGAGAUUGAUGGCGCAAUGCAACGAGAAAGGUUUUGAGUUGGAGAUAAAAUCAGCAGACAAUCGGAUCUUGCAGGAACAGUUGCAGAAUAAAUGUGCAGAGAACAGGGAACUACUGGAAAGAGUGAAUGUGUUGGAGCAGCAAUUGACUUCAAUUAAUGGUGAUAAGACUAUUAAGACAUCAGUCUCCUCUGAACUGAAUAUUUCUGAAGGCAAUAGCAAUGAGCUGAAAAGGAAGAUUCAAACUCAGGAGAUUGAGAACGAGAAAUUGAAGCUAGAACAUGUCCAGCUUUCGGAAGAAAACAGUGGCUUGCGUGUCCAAAAUCAGAAACUGGCAGAGGAAGCUUCAUAUGCGAAAGAGCUUGCCUCUGCUGCUGCUGUUGAGCUGAAGAAUUUGGCUGGGGAAGUUACUAAGAUUUCCCUGCAGAACUCCAAGCUAGAAAAAGAACUGUUGGCUGCACGAGAAUUGGCACAUUCCAGAGCUAAUGGUUUAAACCGAAAGUUCAGUGAUGGUGUAAGGGCAGCUAGAAAAGGUCGUCUAUCUGGUCGUUCCCAUGAUAUGGGAUCUGCCUCUGAUGAGUUUGAUGCCUGGAGUCUUGAUCCAGAUGAUUUGAAAAUGGAACUACAGGCAAGAAAGCAACGUGAAGUGGCUCUUGAAGCUGCAUUAGCUGAAAAGGAGUUUCUAGAGGAUGAAUACAGGAAAAAAGUUGAUGAGGCAAAGAAGAGGGAGGAAGCUUUAGAAAAUGACUUGGCCAAUAUGUGGGUCCUUGUUGCUAAAUUGAAGAAAGAUGGGGGAGGCAUAACUGAGCUGAACUCGGAUGACAGAUCUUCUGAAGCUAACAACAUUGAUGAAUUGAAGCCUACUGACAGUGAUAGCAACGGCGUUCUAAAAGAGAGGCAAAAUCCUGAUGUCUCAAAACCAACUGAGGAACUUGUCAAGGAGGAACCUCUUGUUGUUCGCUUGAAGGUAGUGCCUGUGGAUGUUCUUUCAGCAUCCAUGCAUGUACUUUUGCGCGAAUGCAAGAAAUGAGAGAAAAGGAACUCAAAUCUGCCGGGAACGGAGAUGGAAACUCGCAUAUGUGUAAAGUUUGUUUUGAAUCACCAACUGCAGCUAUCCUUCUACCCUGCAGGCAUUUUUGUUUGUGUAAAUCCUGUUCUCUAGCAUGUUCUGAGUGUCCUAUAUGUCGUACAAAAAUUGGAGAUAGGCUGUUUGCAUUUACUUCUUGACUCUGCCGUUUAUUUCCUCCUAAAGGGUUUUCUUACUAUUGGUAGCUAUUUUGCUUCCAAUGGCGUGUGCAUUCUUUUAUUACUUUCUCCUGUACGUAGCUCCUGAAACGAUAUUUCAGCCGAUUAUUUUCUGUACCUUUCCCAAAGAGAUGUAAAAUAAUCAGGAAAAGUUCAGAAAAAAGAAGCGAAACAUGUCAAGAGAAUUAUACAAUUUCAAGUUUCUGGGGCAAUUUGUUGCUCUGUCAUUGAACAUGUGGCAGAAUGUCAUGACAUGUUCGAAGUUCUGAAACUUCUGUGGAGUUGGGUUACAUAUACAAAUGGUGUAAGCCUCUGUAAAAAGAAUUCCACCCUUCCAAAUGUAUUUUCUAUUCUGAAAACAAAGUGGCUACUUGUGCCUUGAUCAUCUGCAAAUGCAUUAUGAACUAUCACUGGUUCGUUGAUCAGAA